UGUGUGUAUACAUAUAUAUUUUUUCCAAGUCAGGUCUUUAUUGAAAUUGGCAGAGGCUUCUCAAUGUUUUAUGAAAACUAACAUCUUAACCUAAGGAUAUUUAAGGAAACAAAUUCAAUUUUCUUUUUUUUUUUUUUAGCACUAAUUAAAUACUUUAUUGAAUAAAUACAAUACCAAACAAAAUGCAUUCAAAUGCUUUCUUAAAAAACAAUUUGAAAGGCCUUUCUACUCAGGCUAAUGACAAACGCAGUAAAGACAGAUAUGGUCAUUUAACAUAGUUAGCUGAUUUUAUACAGCACUUGUAUCUUUUAGUCCACAAGUAUAGUAUUAAAUGAUAGAGAACAUUGAAUACAACCAUUUCUACAGAACUAAGAAAUAAAUUACUAAAGAAGAAAGAUUUUACAAAUCCCAUCUUUUAUACCCACCCCAACAGUCUAACUCUAAAGAGGAUAAAGCCAAUGACUUUCCUCACAAGACCUCAUGACUAAUGUUGCUUUGCUAUCAAAAUCUGUAUUUCUGGCCCAUUAUGAGCAUUGAGACAAGAUUCAAAUAUUCCCAAAGAAAGAGGCAUAAUGCAGGUUGUGAUCACCCAUUCAACAACAUUGAGCACUGCAUCCAGAACUAUCUCAUCCCAGGAAUUAAAUAAGGUCAGCCACAUUUAUGGGCAUUUCCUCCACUGUAGUACUGUAGAAAGUGUCAGUGUC
rnacentral:lncRNA from 10 species